GAGGAUCUUCCGCAAUGGGCGCAAGCCUGACGGAGCAAUGCCGCGUGAGGGAUGACGGCCUUCGGGUUGUAAACCUCUGUCGCCCGGGACGAAUUCCGACGGUACCGGGAGAGGAAGCCACGGCUAACUACGUGCCAGCAGCCGCGGUAAGACGUAGGUGGCGAGCGUUAUUCGGAUUUAUUGGGCGUAAAGGGUUCGUAGGGGGCAGUUUAAGUCGGGUGUGAAAGCCCAAGGCUCAACCUUGGAAUGGCACCCGAGACUGGGCUGCUAGAGGAUCGUAGAGGAGUGUGGAAUUGCUGGUGUAGCGGUGGAAUGCGUGGAUAUCAGCAGGAACACCAACGGCGAAGGCAGCACUCUGGACGACACCUGACCCUGAGGAACGAAAGCUGGGGGAGCAAACA
rnacentral:rRNA from 1 species